rnacentral:lncRNA from 1 species
CCUGCUGGAGAUAUAAAUCAGCCCCUCUUCUGUUCAGUAGAGAGAAUUUGGACAGCAGCCUGGGUGGAUCUCUGCCCAGGGCCACAGAAACGGCCAGUGUUGGCUCCGAGGUUCUGAUGAGCUCCCAUCUCACACCGUGACCUGGACCUCUCUAGAUAGGGUCUGUAAGCUGCACGUUCUAACCCCACUCUGCCAGCAGCUGCCUGAAGUCAGUGGCUGUCUAGGCAGAUGAGAGCUGUCUGCAAUGCCUCUCCACAGGUGCCACCUUUCUCCUCUAAAGACUUAAAGAAGACAUCUUCUGAUCUUAAAGUUCUCCUUCCUGGCCCCUGGGACAAAUGUUAUCACAAAGCUCUGGAAGAAGCCAGCUUCUAUGUUGGGAGGAUACUGAAGCAGCCAAUCGUCAGGUCCACAUGGUAAGAAGCAAAGUUUCUUGGAACUGCUCUGAGCCAGCCAUCACGAAGUGGGUUGCCUGGCCCAUUAGAUCUUAGGUGACUGUAAUUUCUGUUAGUGUUUGGACAGUCUCCAGAGAGACCCCUGGGCCAGAGAACCCAGCUCUGCUGCCCCUAGAUUCUUUUUUUUUUUUUAUGACGUAGAAAACUGAAAACACUGAAGACAAAGAGGAUCUUGAAAGUAGCCAGAGAGAAAAGAUUGUCCACACAGCAAUGAAUAUUCUAACACCAGUUCUUUUUUCAACAGAGACAGUGGAAGCCAAGGAGACUAUGGGAUGGCAGCUUUGAACCACUGUGUGAAAAGGACUAUCAAGUUGAACUCUGAUCCUUCCAAGGGUGACGGUAAAAAUAAAGACAAUGAAAAAUGUUUUAAAAUAUUAAACAACUGGCUACCAAGAACACUUACCAAAGGAAUUUAUUAAGUUGCACACCAGGAAGGAAGAAAAUAUUAACAGGAGAUUUUAAAGUCCAAGAAUAAACCAUGAAGAGAGCAAAUGACAGAUAUUUAAAUAUUGGUUGUCUAAAAUGAUAGUGACAAGGUUCUUUGUGCCAUAUAUUGGGCCAAGUGCUUUGCAUGGAGCGUCUCCGUGAAUCCUCAGCACAAUCUGAAGUGACAGGAUGGAGUGUACAUAUGCACAGGUGGGAACAGCAGUUCAUA